CCAUCUAGAUGGGAGGUGCAGGGUGGGUGGAUGAACUAUAGUGCUGGCUGGCAGAGGGCAGGGUGUAGAGCGGUAUUGGGGUUCACUUUGGAAAACAAAAUUUGAUAGUAGGAUUUGAUGGUUCUUUGGAGAAGGGAACAUAUAAAAGGUAGGGUCUUGCUAAGUUGCCCAGGCUGGCCUCAAAUGUUUGAUCUUCCUGCCUCAGCCUCUUUGGUGCUAGGAUUACAGGUUGUCCUGGAACUCACUGUGUAACCCAGGCAGGACUUGAACUUGUGAUCCUCCCACCUGCCUCCUGAUUACAAGAAUUACCUGGGAUUAUAGGAUGGUAGGUGGUUGUCUCCCAUCAGCAAGAGUUUAUGGAAGAGAUCUUGUCUGCAAGAGGAGGAGGAGAAAAAAGGCAGAGGAAUCCCUCACUUCAAAUGAGGUUAUGGAGAUGCGUAAAAUGUGGGCAACAGUGCAAAAUUUUGUGGAAAAACACCACCCGAAUAAAGCUGUAGCAGUGCGAGCAAUGAAUCUGUCUAACCACAAUACAAUGUCUCAUUUCUGCGAAAUCCUCAAAAGGAGGCAAAAGCAAGUGUCACUGGAUAGGUUCUUUGUUAGAUUUGCAUGAAAAGAAAAAGACCCCAUUGAGCCAACAGAUAGCAGUGAUUCCAUAUUGACAGUGAAAGUCCUCUUAAUGACCCUCCUCUCUCUUGUCUCUCUCACACCGGCCAUGAAGUUUGCAAAAGUGCAG
rnacentral:lncRNA from 1 species